rnacentral:rRNA from 1 species
CCUACGGGAGUCUGCAGUGAGGAAUAUUGGUCAAUGGGCGGGAGCCUGAACCAGCCAAGUCGCGUGAGGGAAGACGGUCCUAUGGAUUGUAAACCUCUUUAGGCGGGGAGCAAUGCCGGGCACGUGUGCCCGGAGGGAGAGUACCCGCAGAAUAAGCAUCGGCUAACUCCGUGCCAGCAGCCGCGGUAAUACGGAGGAUGCGAGCGUUAUCCGGAUUUAUGGGGUUUAAUGGGUGCGGAGGCGGAUUUUUAAGUCAGCGGUAAAAUGUCCGGGCUCAACCCGGGCCGGCCGUCGAAACAGGGGAUAUGGAGUGGGCGAGAGGUAUGCGGAAGGCGUGGUGUAGCGGUGAAAUGCGGAGAUACCGCGCAGAACUCCGAUUGCGAAGGCAGCAUACCGGCGCCCGACUGACGCUGAGGCACGAAAGCGUGGGGAUCGAACAGGAUUAGAUACCCCUGUAGUC